CCCGAAAUAGCUUUAGGGCUAGCGUCGAGGUAAAGUCGUGUGAAGGUAGAGCACUGAAUAUGUGAUGGCCCCAUCUCGGGGUACUGAACAUAAUCAAACUCCGAAUGUCACAAAGAUAUACUCGGCAGUCAGACAGUGGGUGAUAAGGUCCAUUGUCAAAAGGGAAACAGCCCAGACCAUCAGCUAAGGUCCCAAAAUAUAUACUAAGUGGAAAAGGAUGUGGAGAUGUCCAGACAACUAGGAGGUUGGCUCAGAAGCAGCCAUCCUUUAAAGAGUGCGUAACAGCUCACUAGUCGAAUGACUCUGCGCCGAUAAUUUACCGGGGCUAAGUAUAUUACCGAAGCUAUGGAUUUACGCGUAAGCGUGAGUGGUAGGGGAGCGUUCUAUGUGCGGAGAAGCGGUACCGUAAGGAGCCGUGGAGCGCAUAGAAGAGAGAAUGCCGGUGUGAGUAGCGAGAUGUAGGUGAGAAUCCUACACACCGAUAGCCCAAGGAUUCCAGGGGAAGGUUCGUCCGCCCUGGGUAAGUCGGGACCUAACGCGAGGCCGAAAGGCGUAGUGGAUGGAAAACAGGCAGAUAUUCCUGUACCCGCGAUGGAAAUGAAGGAAUGACGGAGAAGGUAAGUAUGACCCACUAAAUGGAUUGUGGGCGAAGCGUAUAGCAGGAUGGCAGUGAAAUGCGUCAUCAGGAUGUAAAGCGUGAAAGGUAAGGGAACGCCCAAGGGCAAGUACCGAAGCAUAUGCAGCCAGCUUCCAGGAAAAGUUUCUAGUAUAUUCCAUAGCGGCCCGUACCAAAACCGACACAGGUGGGCAAGGAGAGAAUCCUGAGGUGAGCGAGAGAACUGUUGCCAAGGAACUCGGCAAAAUGACUCCGUAAGUUAGCGAUAAGGAGUGCUCUUGUAAAAGAGAGCCGCAGUGAAGAGGCCCAAGCGACUGUUUAACUAAAACACAGCUCUCUGCAAAGUCGCAAGACGAAGUAUAGGGGGUGACGCCUGCCCGGUGCUGGAAGGUUAAGAGGAUUUGUCAUCCGCAAGGAGAAGCAAUGAAUUGAAGCCCCAGUGAACGGCGGCCGUAACUAUAACGGUCCUAAGGUAGCGAAAUUCCUUGUCAGGUAAGUUCUGACCCGCACGAAAGGCGUAACGAUUUGGGCGCUGUCUCGGCAGCAGACUCGGUGAAAUCUUAGUACCUGUGAAAAUGCAGGUUACCCGCAACUAGACGGAAAGACCCCAUGGAGCUUUACUGCAGCCUGAUAUUGAGUUUCGAUCAGAGAUGUACAGGAUAGGUGGGAGACAAAGAGACAUGCACGCCAGUGUAUGAGGAGUCGCUGUUGGGAUACCACUCUUGUCUGAUUGGAAUUCUAACCUGCAUCCCUAAGCGGGAUGAGGGACCGUGUCAGGUGGGCAGUUUGACUGGGGCGGUCGCCUCCCAAAGAGUAACGGAGGCGCCCAAAGGUACGCUCAGAUUGGAUGGAAAUCAAUCGACGAGUGCAAAUGCAGAAGCGUGCUUGACUGCGAGACAAACAGGUCGAGCAGGGACGAAAGUCGGGAUUAGUGAUCCGGCGGUGCCGAAUGGAAGGGCCGUCGCUCAACGGAUAAAAGCUACCCUGGGGAUAACAGGCUGAUCUCGCCCAAGAGUUCACAUCGACGGCGAGGUUUGGCACCUCGAUGUCGGCUCAUCGCAUCCUGGAGCUGAAUUCGGUUCCAAGGGUUGGGCUGUUCGCCCAUUAAAGCGGUACGCGAGCUGGGUUCAGAACGUCGUGAGACAGUUCGGUCCCUAUCUGUCGUGGGCGUAGGAUAUUUGCAAGGAGCUGUCCCUAGUACGAGAGGACCGGGAUGGACGCACCUCUGGUGCACCAGUUGUCACGCCAGUGGCACAGCUGGGCAGCUAUGUGCGGAACGGAUAAACGCUGAAGGCAUCUAAGCGUGAAGCCGCCCUUAAGAUAAGAUAUCCCUUCUGUUUACAGAGUAAGACCCCUUGAAGACUACAAGGUUGAUAGGCUCAAAGUGUAAGCACGGUGACGUGUUUAGCUAGCGAGUACUAAUCGGUCGAGGGCUUAACCUU
rnacentral:rRNA from 1 species